rnacentral:piRNA from 1 species
UGAGAAGUCCGAAAUCAAGAUGCCUGAGGAU